GCCAGGCAUGGUGGCGCGUGCCUGUAGUCCCAGCUACUCAGGAGGCUGACGCUGGAGGAUCGCUUGAGCCCAGGAGUUCUGGGCUGUAGUGCACUAUGCCGAUCGGGUGUCCACACUAAGUUCGGCAUCAAUAUGGUAACCUCCCAGGAGCGGCAGACCACCAGGUUGCCUAAGGAGGGGUGAACCAGCCCAGGUCGGAAACAGAGCAGGUCAAAACUCCCAUGCUGAUCAGCAGUGGGAUCGCGCCUGUGAACAGCCACUGCACUCCAGCCUGGGCAACAUAGCAAGACCCCAUCUCU
rnacentral:SRP_RNA from 1 species